rnacentral:lncRNA from 1 species
UUGUUCGAGAUGUACAGGCGGUGCCUCAAAUCCUGGCUGCAGAAUGGCACGCCGAACUUCAUCGCGAAUGACGGCGGCGAGAGUUGAAACUGUCGGCGUGGCUUCCAUUAACUGCAGCUUCGAA